UGGCCACCUAUGUCACCAAAGUGC
rnacentral:siRNA from 1 species